ensembl:lncRNA
UGCAGGCGCGUUGCCUUCAUCCAGCGAACCGGCUUCAAACGCGAAUGCUAACGAGUGAGGACGGACCCUCUCCCAUAGAAACCCGAUCAAAGAGUCGAUUAAAUUAAAAGCAACAAUGGUGCCGCUGCUGCCCGGUCCUCCCCGGUACAAGAACAUGGCGUCUCCACCGCGGCACCAGCUGCCCGGUCCCCCCUGGUACAAGAACAUGGCGUCUCCACCGCGGCACCAGCUGCCCGGUCCCCCCGGUACAAGAACAUGGCGUCUCCACCGCGUCUCCACCAGCAAAUGCCCGGCCGGUUGACAUUCUGCUGCUCCGGCGUCUUUCAUCUUUCGCCCACACUUCAGUCAUCUAUCAUAGGAGGCAGUGCUUGUGUCUUUGCGUAUGUGUGCGCAUUAGCAAUUAUUUCUGCUGCCACGCCAAAUAAUAAAAUAACUUUUAAA